GACGAACGCUGGCGGCGUGCCUAACACAUGCAAGUCGAACGGAAAUGCCCUGCUUUUGUGGGGUGCUCGAGUGGCGAACGGGUGAGUAACUCGUGAGUAACCUGCCCUUGACUUUGGGAUAACUUCAUGAAACUGGGUCUAAUACCGGAUAGGAGCUCCUGCUUCAUGGUGGGGGUUGGAACGUCUCGGCGGUUGGGUAUGGACUCGCGGCUUGUCAGCUUGUUGGUGGGGUAGUGGCUUACCAAGGCUUUGACGGGUAGCCGGCCUGAGAGGGUGACCGGCCACAUUGGGACUGAGAUGCGGCCCAGACUCCUACGGGAGGCAGCAGUGGGGAAUAGUGCACAAUGGGAGGAAGCCUGAUGCAGCAACGCCGCGUGCGGGAUGACGGCCUUCGGGUUGUAAACCGCUUUCGCCUGUGACGAAGCGUGAGUGACGGUAAUGGGUAAAGAAGCACCGGCUAACUACGUG
rnacentral:rRNA from 1 species